AUUGAACGCUGGCGGCAGGCCUAACACAUGCAAGUCGAACGGUAGCACAGAGAGCUUGCUCUCGGGUGACGAGUGGCGGACGGGUGAGUAAUGUCUGGGAAACUGCCCGAUGGAGGGGGAUAACUACUGGAAACGGUAGCUAAUACCGCAUAACGUCGCAAGACCAAAGUGGGGGACCUUCGGGCCUCACACCAUCGGAUGUGCCCAGAUGGGGUUAGCUAGUAGGUGGGGUAAUGGCUCACCUAGGCGACGAUCCCUAGCUGGUCGGAGAGGAUGACCGGCCACACUGGAACGGAGACACGGUCCAGACUCCUACGGGAGGCAGCAGUGGGGAAUAUUGCACAAUGGGCGCAAGCCUGAUGCAGCCAUGCCGCGUGUAUGAAGAAGGCCUUCGGGUUGUAAAGUACUUUCAGCGGGGAGGAAGGCGGUGGAGUUAAUAACUUCACCGAUUGACGUUACCCGCAGAAGAAGCACCGGCUAACUCCGUGCCAGCCGCCGCCGUAA
rnacentral:rRNA from 1 species